CAGGGAUGUUUUAGUUGUUGUCCAUGAGUUUAGUUACAAAUCCACCAAAUUUUCCCACUUUUACCCUUCCAGGUCUCUCCUGAUCCCACCAGGGCUGAGCAAGGUGUGGGACUGAACUGCCAGUUGGGGUUAAACCGUCACAAAUGGGAAAAACCUGAAGUUUGUUUUUGGCAGAUCCCAGUGCUUGUGGGGAUUGUCCAGGGAGGGCACAAGGGCUGUUGGAAGCUGGGAGUGAAUGCAAAGCCAAAUUUCAUUCAAACAGAAACUGGAGGCACCGGGUAUCCCCUUUACAGCUCUUAUUCAUCCAAAAGGGAAAUGUUUCCAGGAACACACACAAGGAGGGAAGAUUUCCCUCAGUUUAGGAUAUUGCCAGAUGAAUUCCUGCCUGCUGCAUUAUCCAGCGGUGAUUAAUGAGAUCUCAGGAGUGAUGCUUCUGGGGAAGAUAAAUUUCAGGUAAACAGGCAUCGCUUCCCAGGUGAUCCAUUUCUUCUGAAAGAACCUCAGGAAGUCAGAGGGGGAAAAAAGGAACACAGAGAGGGUCAGGAUG
rnacentral:lncRNA from 1 species